rnacentral:tRNA from 1 species
GGCGUCAUCUUCUAAUGGUUAGGAAACCUGAUUUUCACUCAGGGAAUACGGGUUCAAUUCCCGUUGACGCUACCA